GAAAAAGAGAGAGACUGAGAAAGAGACUAAUAGAAGAACAUAAAUAACAGUAUAUUACUUGAUCAAGUUGGGAGAGUGGUCAGAUCAAGAUUAAGUAGUCAUACAACAUUAGAAUCCUAAUUUUGAAAUGUGUUUUCUUACAGAGAUACCAGCCAGAACCUGUUUAUAGAUUGUCAAGUGUGAUCUCUCAUCUGGGAGACAGCUUGUAUACAGGCCACUACAUCACUGAUCUGCUGGACAGCCAUGGUAGUGGAUGGCUCUGUAUGGAUGAUGCACGUGUCCGUAGGACAGAUGUGGCCACUGUACUCAGGACCAGAGCUCACACUGCCUACAUCCUCUUAUAUGUGUGCAGUGGAGCAGGUGAAGGAGACCAGGCACCUAAGAUGCAGAAUUAGAAGAGCUUCCAGAGGAAUCUGUCUGACCAAGACCACCAAGGGGAUCAAAAGCUGCAUGAUUUUGCAUGAAGAGUGGACAACUGAGGGGAACUCUGGGGCAGGAACACAAGAUUUAAAGGGUUGCAACUGCUGGGUGGAGAGCGUCUGUGAAACUGCAGACAGAGGAGCUAACAUGGAUAGAAAACAGCUACAAAGCACUAAAUGA
rnacentral:lncRNA from 1 species